AAGGGUCCUGUAGUGUAUAACAUAUUGAAUUGCAAAUUCGAAGAAGCAGCUUCAAUCCUGCCGGGGCUUC
rnacentral:tRNA from 1 species